GACGUAGGGCGCGAGCGUUGUCCGGAUUUAUUGGGCGUAAAGAGCUCGUAGGCGGCUUGUCGCGUCGUUCGUGAAAACCUGCAGCUCAACUGCAGGCUUGCGGUCGAUACGGGCAGGCUAGAGUUCGGUAGGGGGAGACUGGAAUUCCUGGUGUAGCGGUGAAAUGCGCAGAUAUCAGGAGGAACACCAAUGGCGAAGGCAGCACUCUGGGACGGUAACUGGACGCUGAGACGCGAAAAGCGUGGGGGAGCAAACAGG
rnacentral:rRNA from 1 species